rnacentral:siRNA from 1 species
CAGGUUUACGUUUUUGGUGGGAA